UACAGAGGGGGCGAGCGUUAUUCGGAAUUAUUGGGCGUAAAGGGCGCGUAGGCGGCCGUGCAAGUGGCGGGUGAAAUCCCUCGGCUCAACCGAGGAACUGCCCGCCAGACUGCAUAGCUUGAGGCCGGGAGAGGUGAGUGGAAUUCCCAGUGUAGCGGUGAAAUGCGUAGAUAUUGGGAGGAACACCAGUGGCGAAGGCGGCUCACUGGACCGGAACUGACGCUGAGGCGCGAAAGCGUGGGGAGCAAAC
rnacentral:rRNA from 1 species